AACAAACGCUGGCGGCGUGCCUAACACAUGCAAGUCGUACGAGAAAGGGUCCUUCGGGGCCUGAGUAAAGUGGCGCACGGGUGAGUAACGCGUGGAUAAUCUGCCCUUCAGUUGGGAAUAACUCAUCGAAAGGUGGGCUAAUACCGAAUAAUGCUGUGAGACCUCGGUUGAUCAGCCAAAGAUAGCCUCCGCUUGCAAGCCCUCGCUGAAGGAUGAGUCCGCGUACCAUUAGCUAGUUGGUAGGGUAAUGGCCUACCAAGGCGACGAUGGUUAGCUGGUCUGAGAGGAUGAUCAGCCACACUGGAACUGAGACACGGUCCAGACUCCUACGGGAGGCAGCAGUGAGGAAUCUUGCGCAAUGGGGGCAACCCUGACGCAGCAACGCCGCGUGAGUGAGGAAGGUCUUCGGAUCGUAAAGCUCUGUCGGAUGGAAAGAACCGCAUAGGGGUAAACAGCCCCUGUGUCUGGCGGUACCAUCAAAGGAAGCACCGGCUAACUCCGUGCCAGCAGCCGCAGUAACAC
rnacentral:rRNA from 1 species